UACGAAGGGGGCUAGCGUUACUCGGAAUGACUGGGCGUAAAGGGCGCGUAGGCGGUUUGCUUAGUUAGGCGUGAAAUUCCUGGGCUCAACCUGGGGGCUGCGCUUAAUACAGGCAGACUAGAGUGUGAAAGAGGGUCGUGGAAUUUCCAGUGUAGAGGUGAAAUUCGUAGAUAUCAGGAGGAACACCUGUGGCGAAAGCGGCUCACUGGACCAUAACUGACGCUGAUGCACGAAAGCUAGGGGAGCAAACAGG
rnacentral:rRNA from 1 species